rnacentral:lncRNA from 1 species
GUAUCCAUGCUUCGUAGUUGCUAAUUCUUUGGCAUUAAAUUAUCAGCAUCAACAUAGAUAUUGGUCUUUUUGGAAGCAUUUGAAACUCAUGUUCUAUCUUAGCCCAUCUCCUCCCCAACACUGAAAAAAAAUCUAAAACAUGUUAAAGUUGCAACCCAACCCGUUGGGUGCAUUUGAUUGUAGAAAUAGAAAGCUAGAUU